rnacentral:rRNA from 1 species
AACGCGAAGAACCUUACCUACCCUUGACAUGCUAGGAAGUCCGCAGAGAUGUGGAUGUGCUCGAAAGAGAACCUGGACACAGGUGCUGCAUGGCUGUCGUCAGCUCGUGCCGUGAGGUGUUGGGUUAAGUCCCGCAACGAGCGCAACCCUCGUGUUUAGUUGCCACAGAAGGAACCCUAGACAGACUGCCGGUGAUAAGCCGGAGGAAGGUGAGGAUGACGUCAAGUCAGCAUGCCCCUUACGCCCUGGGCGACACACGUGCUACAAUGGUCGGGACAAUGGGAUGCUACCCCGCGAGGGCAAGCCAACCUCAAAAACCCGACCUCAGUUCGGAUUGCAGGCUGCAACUCGCCUGCAUGAAGGCGGAAUCGCUAGUAAUCGCAGGUCAGCCAUACUGCGGUGAAUCCGUUCCCGGGUCUUGUACACACCCGAA